rnacentral:lncRNA from 1 species
UCUUGCAUGUCUUUUCUUCGAAGUAAUUUGUUUGCUGUGUAACCUAAAUAACGUUCCUGAUGUGCUUCCAGAAAUCUGAACAUGCAUUUUUAUUCUCACUUUAGGGGAGCCCAGAGCAUAACUCCAAGGUUCCAAGAAAAAAAUUGGAUUCAGGUUUGAUGUGACUGAUGUUUCUCUUAGCUGAGGUAUUCCUGAGCAGAGAAUAAAGUCCUGAAGCUAGACAUUGCUUCUAAAUGUGGUGGACUUAUGUAUCAUUGGAUAUAAAAGAUAUAUGGUAACCACUGCACCACAGUGCUAAAGUUUUAGUGUAGAACUGCAAGCAGAGCAAGUGCGGAGUAAAUUCUUUAUAUGUGAUUUUUAAAUUUCUCUUCAUUUCUUUAUAACAGUCAGAAUUCUAGUUAACAUGUUCUAAGAAACUUAUUUACCGGAAUGUGUGGAAUGUGUAUUGUUCUUCUUAAUUGUAUCUUCUUCUCCAUCUGUGAAUUAAGUAGGAGAAGGUUUAGUAUUAAUUUUUAUAUUUGCCACCUUACACUUUUCUGACAACAUUAAGGAUAUUAGUUAAUUUAAGCAAAUAUACUAGCAUCAGAUUAUGCAUUUUCGGGUCUAUGCAGAUAUGCAUAUAAUACAUAUCAAUUAGCUGUACUAACACACUUAGUCACUGUGGGAUAUUUAAAUAAAGCCUUACAUGUCUUCUGCUAAAGAAUUUGGAUUGUUUUCUCCUGUAAUAAGGGAAGAUUAGAGAAAUAUCUGUACCUGAUUUUCAUUGCUCUUUUAUCUAACAGCUACUUUGAUUCUUUUGUAUCAAUGUUUCUCUGCAUCAGUUUUUUUCUUUGUCUAGGAUAUGAACUUCUCAGUGGAGAGAAGAAAGCACUGGGAUUGUAUUUAUUAUUUCACAGUCAGAGGUUGACAAGAAAAGUCUAAAGGCACUCUAGACAUGUUUCUGAUACGGACUUUUUGGCAAAGCUCCAUAACUUUGCCUCAGAGUUUCUAUGGCAGCUCAGGAACCCUCUAUCCACAAAUGCUGUAUCCAGAGCUUGCAGAGGAGCGCUGCUCCCCUGAUUGAGCUACUGAUUGAGCACCUGAAAAGGUGAGCCUCGGCAGCACUGGCCGGAGUAAUUCAACUGAUCCCCAUCUCUGCAUGGUGAAUUACCAUGCUUGGCACAUGCAGGCUUGUCUGGAUUGCUGCUGCUCAGCCAGGUAGCACAGGUAUCUCUGCAUUAUGUUUGUCUGGUCAGUGCCCAAAUCUUACAUUACUGCAUU